rnacentral:rRNA from 1 species
UACAGAGGUGCCAAGCGUUAUUCGGAAUCACUGGGCUUACAGGGUGCGUAGGCGGCCUGUUAAGUAGGGUGUGAAAGCCCCCGGCUCAACCGGGGAAUGGCGCCCUAAACUGGCGGGCUGGAGUGAGAUAGGGGUGUGCGGAACUUCCGGUGGAGCGGUGAAAUGUGUUGAUAUCGGAAGGAACGCCGGUGGCGAAAGCGGCACACUGGAUCUCAACUGACGCUGAGGCACGAAAGCCAGGGGAGCGAACGGG